rnacentral:rRNA from 1 species
GGUCGAGCCUGCCCAAUGAUAAUUGAUUUAAUGGCCGCGGUAUUUUGACCGUGCUAAGGUAGCGUAAUCACUUGCCCUUUAAAUGAAGGCCAGUAUGAAAGGUUUGACGAGGGCUUAACUGUCUCCUCUCCACCAUCAAUGAAAUUGAUCUCUCCGUGCAAAAGCGGAGAUAUGUAUAUAAGACGAGAAGACCCUGUGGAGCUUAAGAUAAAGCUUUAGACCCCGCCAAAGAAUCUAAAUAUAGGACUAAGCCGAAAGUAGCUAAAGACUAUCUUCAGUUGGGGCGACUACGGGGAAUACAAAACCCCCGCGAAGACUGAGAAGACUACUCUUCUUAAAUCUUAGAACUACCCUUCAAAUCAAUAGAACUUCUAACUUUUUAUGAUCCGACCAGUUGAUCAACGAAUAAAGUUACCCCAGGGAUAACAGCGCAAUCCCCUUACAGAGUCCCUAUCGAAAAGGGGGUUUACGACCUCGAUGUUGGACCAGGGCAUCCUAAUGGAGCAGCCGCUAUUAAGGUUCGUNNGUCAACGA